GACGAACGCUGGCGGCGCGCUUAACACAUGCAAGUCGAGCGAGAACCGGGGCUUCGGCCCCGGGGACAGCGGCGAACGGGUGAGUAACACGUGGAUAACCUGCCCUCGGCACCGGGAUAGCCCGGGGAAACCCGGAUUAAUACCGGAUGGGCCCUUCCGACUUUCGAGUCGGUCGGCAAAGGUAGCUUAGGCCUCCGGCCGAGGAUGGGUCCGCGGCGGAUUAGCUUGUUGGUGGGGUAAGUGGCCUACCAAGGCUUCGAUCCGUAGCUGGUCUGAGAGGACGAUCAGCCACACUGGGACUGAGACACGGCCCAGACUCCUACGGGAGGGCAGCAGUGGGGAAUCUUGCGCAAUGGGCGAAAGCCUGACGCAGCGACGCCGCGUGAGGGACGACGGCC
rnacentral:rRNA from 1 species